CAAUAUGUCAUGUGAUUGUUGAUGUUGUGGUGAGAAAGCGUAAAGGAGUCUAAGUAUAACAUUUGAGUCAUGAGGGACUUUUAAAUGUUUGAGUAUAACAUUUGAGUCAUGUGGGACUUUUAAAUGUUUCGAUAUACGGAUCUUACGUCACAGUGGUGAUAGAGACAAUUAUUAUCGUAAGGCUGAACCUUGGCCGAGGUGACAGGUUACGAUUCAGUUAGAGCUCUAGUCUGUCUGCCAUCGUAUGUCAUGAGAGUAGCACGUGGGUUACUUGGGAUCAUGAAUACGUAUUUAUUAUUGAGAGAGUGUCGGUUGAUGGGACAUUGUUUUAGAAUGGGUGGUGAAAUUAGUGUUGGAUGCUUUAAAAUGGAUUUUUGUGUUGAGGAAUAAGUAUGAAGAGGUUGCUUUAUUAUUUUGUUUUGAGUUUACUCAUACGAGCUUCAAAAGCUUAUCGGGUUUGUUGUUUGCAAUCCCGGUGCACUAUUCCAUUGUGUAGGGAUUAAUCCUGUGUAGGGAUCAGGGUGGAGAUCGAGUGGUGUAAUGCAUUGUAUUAGGUUCGAACCUAAUUUUUUAUUAUUGUUGUUGUGUAUGCUCUUAUAGAGCUUUACAUUUUAUUUGGUGAGUUAGUGAUGUAAUAAUUGACUCAGUGGGAUUGAGAUUUGUAAUUUCUGUUGUUGUGUGGUUCAUUUGGAAAAAAUUUCCGAGUGUUAUAAACAGUUUAGUUGAGUUUUCAUGUUUCGGAUUUGAAUUUAAUUAUGAAAAAUUCGGGGCGUGAUAGUGUGGUAUCAGAGCGCAAGGUAAAUAUUUGGUGACAAUCAAUACUACUCGAGUGAUGGCCCGUCUGCAGCGGAUCCCCAUCGUAUGCUUUUCGGUAUUGAUAUAGUCAUUGGGUAUGUGAGAGUGUUAGGAGUUGUCUAGGACGUUAGGUCGUCUUAGGAACUUUGUGUAGUCUCGUUGAGUUGUAGUCCUUUGAGGAAUGGGAACCCCAAGAUAGAACUCUUGGUAGACUUAGAAAAUGUUGGUUGUUGAUGUGUGUCAUCUUUGUAUUAGUGUCUUGGGUAAUACGGUUUUAGUUAUGAUGUAUUCCCAUGUUUAAGUUUUUAUACAAGUGUUAAUCAAGUGUUGUUAUACUCUCUAGGUGAUGGAUCCUCAGAGAGGCAGGAUCAGGGGUAGAGGCAUGGUUCCCUCUCAGGAGGAUAGGAAUGAGGUGGUGCAACCUGUUUUGCCUGUUGUUGGGGCAGUUGAUGCUACACACCUAACAAGGCUGACUAGAGAGGUCAUUGGACUGGGGGCAGUGGCUUUUCAGGGUAGUACAGAUUACUUGUUGGCCGAUCAGUGGAUCGAGAACAUGGAGACCUACUAUGACAUGGUCGUCGGUACCGACAUGGAGAAGAAGAUUACAGCUAUAUUCCUCCUCCAGGGUGAAGCAGGAAGGUGGUGGGAUUUUGUACUAAGGACUAGGGAUAUAUCGACCAUGACUUGGGAGGGUUUUGUAGAACUCUUUCGGGACAUGUACAUUCCCGCUUCAGGGAGGGAGAAAUUGGGGAUUGACUUCAUUUCUCUAAUUCAGGGGACUAUGAGUGUCGAGGAGUACGAGGCCCGGUUCUCACAGUUGUACCGAUUUGUUAGGCCGAUGGAGUCAGUGUCUUUAGCUCGGAAGUUCCAGCGGGGACUGAACCUGGUCAUCAGAGAGAGGGUGGCUCCUUUUAAGUUGCCUACUGUAGCACUUAUCUUUACUAGUGCUUUGGCAUUUGAGCAGGAACUUCUGACUUCGCAAAGUAAGAUGACAACUAUAAGGGAUUUUCGAGGGAAGGGAAAGGCAGUUAUUGAAAGCAGUAGUGCAUCAGAUACUCAGGGCGAGUCUUGGAAAAGGCGGAGGACUCAUCAGCAGGCCCCAGUUGGAGUCACAGCAGAACCUGUUAGGGCUGUACCUAUUAAGCAAGGUAUGUCAUUGACAUGUUACAACUGCGGAGUUGUGGGCCAUCUAGCCAGUGCGUGCUCGAAGCAGAAGAGCAGAGUAUGUUUUAGAUGCCGUCAGACAGGGCAUUUAGCCAGAGAGUGUAACCGACCUCAGGAUAGUUGACAGGGGACCCAGAAGAGACAACUACCUUCAGAGGCAGCAUAGAGUGUUUGCUAUGGGUCAGCAGAGUCCAAGUGUGAAAGGCACCUCAUCAGCCUUCAUUUCAGGUUAAUGUAAUGUGUGAUACUAGUGUAUUUCGUGCUUUUAUGUUUGAGUUGUUUGUGUAAUUUUGAUGUGUGGAAGACUUGUUUUGACAUUGUGAAAUGAUGACUGUAACAGAAUGUUGUAAUUUUGAUUUGAGUUGAAAGGAAGGUUUUUUUUUUUUUUUUUCCAAAUUCUUGUGAUGCUAACUAGGUUAGGAAGUAAGGAAUACUAAAAUUAAAUUCAUAACUACUGAUUUGAGUGUUGAAGGUCCUUCUGAGUGGACAAUUGGAUCGGAUGGUGGGUUGAGAUUAAGAUCAAGAUUGUAUGUUCCAAGUAGUGAUAAUCUCAAGGAGGAAGUCAUGCGGGAAUCACAUCGAUCUCGAUACACUGUACAUCCAGGGAGCACCAAGAUUAUAUGGAUCUACAAAGACAGUUUUGGUGGAAUGGGAUGAAGAAAGAUGUGGCAGAGUAUGUGUCUAAGUGUCUUACCUGCUAACAAGUGAAGGCAGAACAUCAGAGACCUGCAGGUAUGUUGAAACCAUUACCAAUCCUUGUGUGGAAAUGGGAACAGAUCUCUAUGGACUUUGUGACUGGAUUACCUAGGUCCAGGCAAAGUCAUGAUUCGAUAUGGGUGAUUGUUGACCGUUUGACAAAGUCAGCACAUCUUCUUCCUAUGUCAAAGACAUACUCGGGUGAUGCCUUGUGCAAGUUGUGUGUUAAUGAGAUAGUAAAGCUUCAUGGUGUGCCUGUAUCGAUUGUUUCAGAUCAGGAUGCUCGAUUCACUUCGAAAUUCUGGGGUAGAUUCCAUAAGGCAUUUGGAACAUCCUUAUCUAUGAGUACAGCUUUUCAUCCAUAGACAGAUGGGCAGACUGAAAGAGUAAAUCAGGUGAUGGAGGAUAUGUUGAGAGCUUGUGUCUUGGACUUCAAGGGAAGUUGGGCGGACCAUCUACCGUUGGUGGAGUUCACCUACAACAACAGUUAUCACUCCAGUAUCGGCAUGGCUCCAUAUGAGGCUCUUUAUGGUAGGCCAUGUAGAACUCCUAUCUGUUGGGCGGAAAUUGGAGAUAAAGAGUUCUUGGGUCCUGAGAUUGUCCAGGAGAUUACCUAAAAGAUCACUAUUAUCCGGGAUAGGAUCCGAACAACACAGAGUAGAUAGAAGAGCUAUGCUGAUUUAAAGAGAAGACAUGUUGAGUUUGAAGAGGGUGACCAUGUGUUCUUGAAGGUCUCGCCAAUGAAAGGCGUGGUGAGAUUCAGCAAGAAGGGAAAGUUAGCACCAAGGUAUGUUGGGCCUUUUGAGAUACUAGAAAAGAGAAUUGGCAUACCGGCUUGCCUUACCACCUAGUAUGUCUGGUGUACACAAUGUCUUCCAUGUGUCUAUGCUCAGGAAGUACGUCCAAGAUGAGUCCCACGUGAUUGAUCAUGGUAUUAUCGAAGUCAAUACGGAUGUGACUUUUGUGGUGGAACCUGACUUAGUGAAAGUGUUGUGGAGUCAUCAUGAUGAGGGUGAUGCCUCAUGGGAAUUGGAGACGGACUUGAGAGCUAAAUAUCCACAGUUGUUUAUCGAUGAAUGUGCUUGAAUUUCGGGACGAAAUUCCUUUAAGGGAGGUAGAUUGUAAUAACCUCAAUUUCUAAAUUAAUUUCAUGUAUUUUGUGUGAAAUUAAUAAAAGUCUCAUUUGCACGAAUUUUAGUUUCGAAUACUUGCUCUUUCGGAUUUAUCAAAGAAUCGAAAUUAUUUGAAAUAACAAAAACCUCGAAACGCUCGAUUUAGAAAUUGACUUUUUAUACGUUAGGAAUCUGCAAAAACUUCCUUCACGAAAGUUGUAGAGCGCGUCGAUACGAGUUUGUGCAUAUGCGGAACGAAAAAAUCAGAGUUCGUACGAAGAAGUUAUGACCGUCGGAAAAUUUUCCAUUUUUGGUAUAUAUAGGAUAUUUUCGGAAAAUUCUUCAUAAUCCCAAAAAUUUCCAAAUUUGGAAAUUUUCUUCUCUCCUUUCUCUCUCGGCUGAAGCCUAGAGAAUCCCAUAAAGUCCUUCGACCCGACUCGGACCCGCGCGACCCGACCCGGCUUUUCCUCCCAUUUCCAGCGUUCUCCGGCCAAGCCACCACCACAGACCUCUUCGCCGUCACCUCCCCGACCUCCCUCUGGUGCUCGACGACGACAACAAUCACCAGAAAUAGGAGAUCGGAGCAAGGAAUCCGACCCGGUCAGAUUUUCCCGAUUCUGGCAUCUUCUCGGCCGAUCCUCACGUGUACAGAAUCCUCUAAAUCACGCUCAUAUAAGCCUUGAAGGACGAUUCAAAGUGUGGAGCAAAAGAUCAAGGGUUGAAGUUCAACGGUGGAGAUCGGAUAUGGAAAUCAGACGGUGGAGAUUGAUCGAACUUGUGAGCUUGAUCUAGGCUGAUCUAGACCGAUUCAGACUUAGCUCCAGGUGAUUGACGGAUUUAUUUUGGGCGAACGAUUGUGAUUGUGAUUUUGAGCUGUUAAGAAGACGCAGCUGGAUUAGAGGUGAAAGGAUUAAUCCUGCAGGUCAGGACGAUCAGGGUGGAGAUCGAGUGGUGUAAUGCAUUGUACUAGGUUCAAAUCUAAUUGUUUUGUUAUUGCUGUUGUGUAUGCUCUUAUAGAGCUUUACAUUUUAUUUGGUGAGUUGGUGAUGUAAUAAUUGACUAAGUGGGAUUGAGAUUUGUAAUUUUUGUUGUUGUUGUGUGGUUCAUUUGGAAAAAAUCUCCGAGUGUUAUAAACAGGUUAGUUGAGUUUUCAUGUUUCGGAUUUGAAUUUAAUUAUGAAAAAUUCGGGGCAUGACAGCUGCUUACAGAAAUUGGUAAAAACCUGCUUUCAUAAGCUAAAAACUAUAACUGCUUA